AGCAGCCGCGGUAAUUCCAGCUCCAAUAGCGUAUAUUAAAGUUGUUGCAGUUAAAAAGCUCGUAGUUGAAUUUUGGGUCUGGCCGGGCGGUCCGCCCUCUGGGUGAGCACUGUUCCGACGCCGGGCCUAUCCUUCUGGUGAGUCGGCAUGUCCUUUAUUGGGUGUGUCGGGGAACCAGGACCAUUACCUUGAAAAAUUAGAGUGUUCAAAGCAGGCGUAUGCUCGAAUACAUUAGCAUGGAAUAAUGAAAUAGGACGCGUGGUGCUAUUUUGUUGGUUUCUAGAACCGCCGUAAUGAUUAAUAGGGAUAGUUGGGGGCAUUAGUAUUCAAUUGUCAGAGGUGAAAUUCUUGGAUUUAUUGAAGACUAACUUCUGCGAAAGCAUUUGCCAAGGAUGUUUUCAUUAAUCAAGAACGAAAGUUAGGGGAUCGAAGACGAUCAGAUACCGUCGUAGUCUUAACCAUAAACUAUGCCGACUAGGAAUCGGGCGAUGUUAUUCUCAUGACUCGCCCGGCGUCC
rnacentral:rRNA from 1 species